UGUUGGCGGAUGAAUAUCUUCAUCCUUUGAGAUCUAUGCAACUAGAUGAAUAUCUUCAUCCUUUAAGAUCUAUGCAGGUGGAUGACUGAUAAAAGAUGGAGCACUUUAAAAUUCAUAUAAAAAUUGAGUGUUUUAAUAUCUGUGUAGGUUGAUGAAUGAUAAAGAAUGGAGUGUUGUAUGAGCUACACCAGCAUACGAAUGAUAGUAGAUAGAGUAUUUUAAGAUCUGUGCAUG
rnacentral:lncRNA from 1 species